rnacentral:antisense_RNA from 1 species
CUUUUCAUUCCCGUUGUCAUGGAGGGCCACAUCUGCCAGAGCCUGGAGUCUGCGAAGGCCGGGACCCGGUUCCCCGGCCCGCCGUGGGGAGUGUGCAAACCCGAGAGAACUGGGUUGCAAAUUCGUGAAGAAUCAGCAGCAUGUUUGGCAGCUGAGUAUUGGAGCCAGGAGCCUGCCAUGAGGUUUUGAGAACAGGGUGCUGUUUUAGAGCUGGCAGCAGCAUCUCAGCCCAAGAGAAGGCAUGACUCCACAGUUUCUGCAACAACAGAGCCGGGGAAAGGAGGACGCAGCAAGCGCUGAAUAUUAACCAGCAAAGGUGAUCUGCCUGCCUCAGCCUCCCAAAGUGCUGGGAUUACAGGAGUGAGCCGCCGCGCCUGGCCUCCCAUUUUCUAAAAGAGUCUAAUUCCAGCCCAAAGUCCCUCCCCGCUCUGUGUGUCCAUUACCCUGAGAGAGCCCUCUUCUGGUCCUGGCUCAUGGACCAGCCUCUCCCUAAGACAUGCAACACCAAAGCCAUUUCUAUUCGCCUCGCCCUGCUGGACCUUUUCUGGAGAGAUGGGAAUUCUUGGAACAGGU